GAGUUUUAUAUUUAGUUUAAUUUUAAAAUUAUAUAAAAAUUUAUAUAAAAAUAAAUUAAAAUAUUAUAUUGGGGUGAUAGAAAAAUAAAAAAAACUUUUUUUAAAAAAUUAACAUAAAUAAAUGAUUGUAUGAUCCAUUAUUAAUGAUUAAAAGAAAAAAUUACCUUAGGGAUAACAGCGUAAUAUUUUUUUUUAGAACAAAUAAAAAAAAAGGAUUGC
rnacentral:rRNA from 1 species